rnacentral:misc_RNA from 1 species
UACGGAGGGUGCAAGCGUUGUUCGAAAUCAUUGGGCGUAAAGCGCGCGUAGGCGGCUUGGCAAGUCGCAUGUGAAAGCCUAUGGCUCAACCAUGGAAGUGCAUGCGAAACUGCCUAGCUUGAGUACGAGAGAGGAAAGCGGAAUUCCCAGUGUAGAGGUGAAAUUCGUAGAUAUUGGGAGGAACACCAGUAGCGAAAGCGGCUUUCUGGCUCGAUACUGACGCUGAGGCGCGAAAGCGUGGGGAGCAAACAGG